rnacentral:lncRNA from 1 species
CCUCUUCUUUUGAUUAUUAAUACUAUUAGUUACCUAUUAAUUAUUGUAGGUAUAUAUGAAACAUAAAUCUCAUUUUGAAUUUAAUUUUAGUAUAUUAUUAUAAAUAAAUGUUUCAGAAAUUAAGUGAGCAAAAUUAUUAUUCAUCAAUAUAGUUUAGUAUAUGUAAUGUAAACAUACAUACAAACAACUUACAUAAUUCAAAUAGUGAUUACUAUAAAUAUAAAAGAGAAAAAUAGCAGCAGUACAUAAAAUUAAAAAUAUUAACUAGGACUAAUUAUACAUUAUUGAAAAUUACAUAAAUAACAAAUAUGACAAAUGGACAUGGCUGUUAAGACUUUGGGAAAUUUGGAGGUCAAAAAAAUGGCUAAAUAGUUACAUACAUAAUAUUAAUUAAGUGAAACAUAUAAAUGAAUAUCAAUUUCCACGUAAAAAUUUUAUUUUAGUUCUAAUUUAUUUAUAAAUUAUAAAACUAGCCAAUUUGAAGCAGUAACAGUUUCCAUAUAACAUUAAAGAAAUUUAUUAAUGUGGAUAAACAAAUUUUAAGAAUUGUUCAAACUUAUAAAAGUAGAAUUAAAACAACAUUCUUAUGUGGAAUCGCUUAAAAUAGUUUACUUAAUUAAUAUGUUUAAGACUUUAUAAUUAUAAUAUUUUUUGGCGUAUAAUAAAAAAAAUAUACAAUACUUUUUGAUAUUAUAUUUUAAUUUGUUUUACUUAUAUUAUUUAUUCAUUUUUGAUGUUCAAUUUGUCCAUUUGUUCUAAAUCGCAUAAGUAAAUAGUAAACAUAUAAACAGAGCAUUAAUUAUAAUAGACUAGAUAUUUAAAGAAUAUAAUAAAGUCAGUAAGUAUAACUAGUAUAAUAUGUUGUUUAUAAAGCCCAGGAAUAUAAUUAAUUCAAAAUUUGUAUAUAGGUAAGCAAUAUCCUAAUUAUAAUGUUAUUUAUUUUAAAAUACAUAUCUAAGUUAUAAUAUUAUAUUAUUAUCUAAGUUCAUUUUCUAAUUUAAAAAAUUGAUUAAUUUAAUAUAGCAACAAAAAUACACUAAUACAUAGAGAGUAGUUACAAAUAAAAUGUAUUAAAUAUAACAGUUUAAUAAUUCUAUCCAAAUAUGUGCCACCAUUCACUGUAAUAUAAGUUUUUGUAUAUGAUUACACCGGUAUAAUAGUUAUUAAUAGACUUAAAUUACAAUUUUUAUUUUUAGUUUUUGAAAAGGUAUAUUUCAUAAAGUAUACUUCCCAUACAAAAUUGAUCAAAAUCUGAUUAAGAAAUUUAAAGAUAUCCGGGUAACAUUUUUCUUUUUCAAAGAUAAUAAAAUAAUUGAAUUUUGAAUUUUUUGUAGCCAAAUUUGUUCAUGUUUAUAUUGUUUAAUAUUUAUAUUUAAUAAGUUACUAAAUUAUUAAAAUAAACAAAUUUGUACAAAAAAAAAACAAAACAAGUUAAAAAUAAUACUUUUGCAACUUAAAAUCCAUAGAAGUUAUCAGCAAAAUAAUUUAUGAUUUAUUAAUAAAUUAUGCAAUUAAUUUUACCUAAGUUAAACACAACACAGUAUAUAAUACUAAUUAUAAACUACUAUUAAGCAAAAUAAAUUACUGUAUUAAUAAUAAAUAAAACUUCUCAACAAAUUAAAUAUGCCUGCAUUUGUAUACCAAUGUGAAUAAUCAGUCUUAGAAUUGAUUUACUAAAACAUCUGUAAUAUGACAUCUGCCUACUAAGUGGUACUUGAAGGUUCAUAAACACUUGCUGGUUGCUCACUUUAAUCAUAGAGCAAAAAUAUCGCGAUACAUUUAUUUAUUAUUUAAUUUGCUGCUACUUAUAUGGAUUUUAAUGUAAGCUGGAUUGCAAUUAAAACAUUUAAACAAGUAAUUUAUAUUUGUAAAAAUGUGAUUAUUCUUAGACGUAUACAAUAUAUAUAUAUAGUAAAUAAUUAUAUAUAUAAAAAAUGUAUAUAUUUAUUUAUGAGUAUUAAUUAUUUUAAUAAUUUUGUUUUUACUGUAUUAAAUAUAAUACAUGUUUAUAAUUAUAUUCAUUCU